CGCGUUGGAAACGCUUUUUUCCCAUUUGUUUUAUGAAACCCUUCUAAUAGCGUUGCACAUAGCCAGAUUAUUCAUACAAUCUGUUUCUAAAAGUCAUUACUAAAUAAGCGUUUCUAAAGAUCAUUAUGUUCUCUAAUAUUUUACUAAAUAAAAAGCCAAAGAAAUGGGUUGUUCCCAUCUCGUGUUCACAACUGCGUCGUUCCCAUCGCCGACGCCCAUCCCCGUCGCGCAUCGAUCAUCGAUCUUCACCGCCGUUUCUGAGCCACCGUGACACCACCAACCCUCGCCGAUGUUGAAGACGAACCCAAACUCUGACUGGAGACGGUGGCCACAAAAUCGAUGCUGGUCAAUGCACUCACGCAUCAAAUCGCGAAGCUCCAUUCUUCUUCUCGAAGCUCCAUAAUCGCUGCCUCUGCGAUGGUUGUUAUGUAUGGAGAUCUCUCUCGCGCCCUUGUGAUCCUCCUUCCUCUGCUCUUCAUCCAUGGCGGUCUCUGCUUCUACCUCCCUGGCAUAGUGCCGCAAGAUUUCCAGAAGCAUGUACAAUUCUCCAAACUCAAGAAGAUGAUGCUUUAGGGGCUUGUUCUGUUAUUGGUGUUGUAGACUUGGUUGUUGGUACAAUCAGGUUAUGUGAGGAUGGAGAACUGCUGCAUCAAAUAUUGGCCUAGUGUGGGCCUAUGAAUUGCUAAUUGAGAAUGACAUUAUUGAGAAAGGGGGCAGGAAUUGAAGAAGAUAAAAUAGUAGAUGGCUUGUAAUGGGAGCAGAAGCAGACAUAUAUAAGUUGGGGUGCCAAUUCCAAAACUCAAGGGCUUUUUAUUUUAAUGCUCUCACUUAUUUCCUUUUUCCUUUUACUUGUGAAAUUACUUGAAACUUGUACUGCAAAACUGGGCUACUUAAAGAAAUAAAUAUAUAACAUGUUUUAAACUUGGAGCUUGCAGGAUGUGGGAACUACCUGAAUCUAAUGGGAUGCUUUCAAAAAUGCUAGCAUGAACAAGAACUGCGAGCAGUCUCAGGGAAUCUGUUUCCAUUUGGCUACAUUUUCUUUCUAUUAAAGUUUUUUCCUCCUUCGAUCAAUAGUUAAUAAUUUUGCAUAAUGUGUUAAAUUCUUACCCUCCUUGCCGUGCUUAUUUUAUUAUUUACUUUCAUUUUUUCCUGCUAUACAUUGGUGGUUACUAAUGAUGCAUGCUAUUUUCACUUUCAGGUAAACAGAAUCAUGGAACUCCCACAAGAUAGUAAGGUAGUAGCCAAGCACACAGAUAGUCCCAAUGUAAGGAUGAGUUUUCUAUACUUCAUUUUCCUUGUCAAACUGGACUAUGCUUAAAUACUAUCUGUCAGUGCAUGCCAGUAGUUGUUUCACUGUGUUUAUAGCUAGUCAUUUCUUUAGUUUCCUACACCUUUAGAGAGACAUUGAGGAGGAAGAAACAGAACUAGAGAUCAAGAAGUGAACCUCGACUGGUAUUUGCAAAUCCCUAAAACUUGCAUCUUCUCUACCCAAUACUAAUAAUGUUUAAGUUCACUGUCUCAAAUGUUGCUAACUAGCAUUGUUGUCAUGUGCCCAUUGCCAGGUAUGUGUUUACUUAUCUUAAAGCUUUUCAUUCUUUCUUGUGUUUUGCACUCAUUCAGCUCUCUUUUUUAACUAAAAAAUUUUCUGUUUCGAGGUGCACAUCAUAAAAAGUUCUUUGUUGCUUUGCUCUUGUUUGCCUUUCACUUCAAGUAGAUUAUUUUUGCCUUACCGAUUGUUACCUUGCAGGUGCUUUUGUCUUCUUGGAUUAUGUUUUGGCUGAGGAUUGGUCUUAACUAGAAGUAUUUUGACUUUGUUUCUUGGUAUUAGAAUGAUUGGGCUCAUGUGAUUGUGGCUUAUUAAUUAAAAGUUUUGUACUGCAGAAUUAUUGCCAUGUGACAGUUUAUUUGUGGUACUUUGGCGACUUGGAAAACCAUAUGCUUUAUCUCUAA